GUCGAGUUCUCAAGAAUAGCUCCAGGUCUGUACUUGCAAUAAGGAUGUAUUUGUCGCCCAUUUGUAUCUGGAGGAUAGUGAGUUUCUGGUGUAUAAUUCUUACCACCGGGUUGUAUCUUGGUAGGUAUUUAAUGGGUGCUAAAUGUUUGCAGCCCACGGUGAUAUGCUGUUGCACAGCCUCGAUUCCAGGCCUAAUCUGCGUUGAUCAGUAAGGAGGGGCUCCUCAAGGACAAGCCUUUGUCCUUUCUGGGGUAAAGCCCCACCAUGAAUGACCGUCAUAAACCCCUUCUGUUUCUACAAACAGAUCCUCGCUACUCAGCCAUUCGUUCCACACUGUGACCCAAGUACUCUCGGUUGAGUUCCUGCACAUGCAGGAAGGACCUUGGGUCUGAGCCAUGUCAUGGGCUCCUGCUGGAGGGGAAGCAUUUUCAUCUACAGCGGACAGGUGCAGUGCAGUGCACCAGCUUUCAGCCUUGCCUGGUGAAUUGUCUGCUUUCUCCAGAAGCAUUUCUGCAUGUUUUUAAUCUGCGUAUGGUGCUCUGAGAACAUCUCCCAGCCCUCUUCUGCCUUGCUGAGGAGGAAGUGGUUUUCCAGUCCCUUAGAGGAGUGCUUCUGCCUUACCUUGCUGGGGCCUCCACCGUUUGGCUCUUCCACAGAUAAAGGAGUCAACAUAUACAGGGGAAAUUCUGGAACUUGGGGCAGAUACACCUGAAGAGAGGGGGGUGGGUGAUGGGAAGACUAAAAAGAAUUCAUGGAAAGGAGUGGAACCUUCAUCAAGCGCCUUCGCUUAGGUUUCGGUUUCUUGGGAUUGCAGGAAUGGGAGGAGGACAGGCAGGGGCAGCGUCCUGGCCUGAGUCACUCGUUUCCACCCUGGCUGUGUGCCAGGAAGGGUCAGCAAGAUUGCAUCCUGCGGGAAGCAUUUGGGUUGCCUCCCCUGACCACGUUGAUCCUCCGGGUCGGUGCGAGGCUCCAGCGCGCAGUCAACCCAUCCCCUCCGCAGCCAUCCGUGUGCCCCCGGCCGUCCUGCGCAUGCGCCCC
rnacentral:lncRNA from 1 species